rnacentral:rRNA from 1 species
GAUGAACGCUGGCGGCGUGCCUAAUACAUGCAAGUCGAGCGAACGGACGAGAAGCUUGCUUCUCUGAUGUUAGCGGCGGACGGGUGAGUAACACGUGGAUAACCUACCUAUAAGACUGGGAUGACUUCGGGAAACCGGAGCUAAUACCGGAUGAUAUUUUGAACCGCAUGGUUCAAAAGUGAAAGACGGUCUUGCUGUCACUUAUAGAUGGAUCCGCGCUGCAUUAGCUAGUUGGUAAGGUAACGGCUUACCAAGGCAACGAUGCAUAGCCGACCUGAGAGGGUGAUCGGCCACACUGGAACUGAGACACGGUCCAGACUCCUACGGGAGGCAGCAGUAGGGAAUCUUCCGCAAAGGGCGAAAGCCUGACGGAGCAACGCCGCGUGAGUGAUGAAGGUCUUCGGAUCGUAAAACUCUGUUAUUAGGGAAGAACAUAUGUGUAAGUAACUGUGCACAUCUUGACGGUACCUAAUCAGAAAGCCACGGCUAACUACGUG